rnacentral:snoRNA from 1 species
GCAGACUCACUCUGUGCCUGACUGCAAUUUUCAGUCUAGGUGCUUUUUCAGCCUGCUAGAGCCAAUAGUCCAGGAUGUUGCGAACGCUUCUCUCUUUGUAGAAGGCUGUUGCAAUUGGUCGUGGGACACAUUU